GAGUGCCAUGUCUGGCCACGUCUGCCACCCUUCCCCCGCGUGGUUAUUAAUAAUUGGGCAUUAGGCAAGAGGCGACUAUCGAUUCUGGUGCAGGCAGCUCCAGGUCGGGGUAAUUUAUGGAAACACUGGCGUCCCUGGCGAUAAAUAAUGAGGUGAUCGCAGAGAUGGGUCACUAGUGAGUGGCCUCCAUCCUGCUUCCCUGUCCACUAGCACACCAGCUCGUAAACGGAGGGAGAGAGGGAGAGCCCGGCUGGCCUGAGAAGACAAAGACGCUGCCCCAAAGGAAUCACUCCGAGCCAGCACAGAUGCCGAGCCGCCUGUGGGCCAACUCCCAGCUCCACCCCAGGCCCAGCGCAGGGCCUCGGACCAGUCACUCCCCUCCUGGCACCCCAGUGCCCUCGUCUGUCCAGUUGUGAGGGUCAAACGGGUCAAGGUCAUGCACUCAGGGACCAAAACCCUUGGGGUGUCCAGAGAAAAUGAGAUGACAGUGGGCCAGGUGGCUCUGGGGAGACACCCUGCAAGAGCGUCCCCAGUGGCUGCUCUGUUCCCCGUGCCCCGUGCACUGCAGAGCAGACGCUGACCCCGUGGGAGCAUGACCUGGCUGUGCGGUUGGCCGAGUCCAGGCCGCUCCGACGUGGUGUCGGCAGGUGGGUUUUUACAUCACCUCAAAUGGUUUUUAAGAUGAUUGAACUACAACAGCUGCCACCCACAACCCAAGGCAGGGCCCAGGGCCAGCCCCAAGCAGUGACAGCCAGUGUGACUGGACAAUGUGAGCAGGGAGGGGCUUGGAAAGAGGACACGGGAGCAGCAGGCAGAGAAGGCCCCGGGGAGCAGGUCAUGGGGGCUUCAGAGGCCACCGUGAGCCUUGGGCUGUGCUCAAAGUGAGGUGGGAGGACUCUAGAGGAGGGGGGACUGGAACAAAGGAGUCCCCGUCUCCCUGUGCUGGGAAAGGAUCCGGGGCUGGCACGUGGAGGAGGCCCAAUGGAAGCAGAGAGACCUGUUAGGAAGCGGCUGCCGUCACCCAGGGAGCAUGACGCGGGCCUGCACCAUGGUGGCUGCGGAGGUGGCCCAAGCAGUGCAGUUGGGAUGUAAGCUGAGCACGGCCCGCGGGCCUCCUUGAGCAUGGGAGACCCACUGAGGCUGAUGCACGGGCUGUGGCUGGAGCAGCUGGUAAAUGGAGCUGCCUCUCCCAGCCCGGGGAAGACGUGCGAUGCCUGCUGGGGUGAGAAUGUCCCCUCCAAAAUGCACGUGGAACGUGGUUGCCACUGCAGUGGAAGGAAGAGGCGGGACCCAGAAGAGGUGAUCUGGAGCCUUGUGAAUGGAUGCAAAAGAGAGAUUAGGGCUCAGCCCAAUUUUUCUGUCUUCCCUGUGCUUUCUUCCCCGGCCAUGUUAUGACGCAGUACAGAGGCCUUCCCAGAGGCCGCGCCAGGUUCUUAGACUUCCCAGCCUCCAGAAGCACGAGCCGAAGAAGCUUCUGUUGUCUCUAACUUAGCCAGUCUUGGCAUCCGUGAGAGCAGCGGAAACAGCUCUUGAGGGGACCGUUGCACAGGGACCCUGCGGGGCAGGAGAGGCUGGGGAUGGCCGUGGAAAGGAGCAGCCAGAGAGGGCGGAGGACCCAGGGCACCUUGGGAGUCAUCUGAAGUCCAUGUUUGAAAGAGGAGGGAGAGGACAACCCUGCCAGAUGCCGGUGGGGGCACAAAUGCAAGCAGGUUGAGAGUUGACCAUCAGACUGGGCCACCCAGAGGUCACAGGUGACCUUGACGGAGCUGCUUUGAUGGCAUGUCGGAGACAAGCCUGGUAAGAGACGGGCCAGAGAGCACGUCAGACUCCUCCCCCACACCUUCCGAGGUGAUUUCAAAGGCUGACCGUGUCCCCACGCCUCCCUCUGCCCGCUGCUCCAGGCGCGCUCAGGAAUUCAGCUCGUCACACAGGAAGUGGACCGAGGGCUCCAUCCCACGGACAUGCACACUCCACCCACAGCAGUCUGACUCCGGUUUUCAUCUCUUCAUCUAGAAAGAUGCCACCUUGGUCCCCCUAAACCCUCCCAGGGGACAGGGGCACACGGCGCUGAAUGGAAAAGACAGGAGCAUGUUUACCAGGUUGUCCCAUCAGAGACGGAAGGUGCCCACCACGGUCACAGCCCCACUUUGAAGGAGUCUGGCUGCAGUGGUCUGUCAAGGUGAGAGGUUCAGAAAUGGUUUAUUGGUAGGAAAAAGCAGGGUGGGGCUCGAGGUGGAGCCGGCUGUGGGGACGGGUGGACGUCCAGGUGAGGCACCAGCAAGACUUGACAGUCUGCACCAAAGAAGCGGAAUGUCCUCCCUGGAUCAGGCUGAGAGACUCCAAACCGAGCGCCUACCCUAAGCCCCGGGUUCCUCAGCCUCAAAUGAGGGAGCCACAGAGGAGCCAGCUGGAGCUGCAGGUCUAGAGACCCGGCACCCGCCCCCACCCCUGCACCCCAACUCUGGGGCCUCCUCCCUCCCCCCUAGGAGGCCAGGGCUGCAGACACCAUUGCCCCCAGCUCUGGUCGAGAGAGAGGGGAGCUGAAUAUUCAGUAUCUGGGGAAACAAUAAAAGUCCCAGGAAGAACCUGGCUAAGGCAAUUACCUCUGCAUAAAUGCAUAUAUUAUUCAUCCGUGGCUUUGAAUAUAUAAAUAAUACUGAUACAAUUUGCAUGCGUUAAAAGGAGAUGUAAUUACCCACUGAUGCCUGUGAGUGCCUGGUACCCACCGGCCACGUUGCAGGCCUGCUGCUGCCCCCGGUAGCCCACCUUUGCCCUUUCUGGAGACAGAAUAUAUCACACAUGGGUUUUCUGCAGCAGCAGGGGGGCCGGCUCUGAGGUCCUGGGGCUUGUUGGACCUUGCUUCCUGUGGGCUGCUUUGGCUACCCGACUCUGUUCUAAAAACUUUGGGCUAUUUUAAUAUGAUUAUUAUAUUUGUUACUUUUAAAACCACGUUGUUUGGGGCUACAA